rnacentral:rRNA from 1 species
AGGACGAACGCUGGCGGCGCGCUUAACACAUGCAAGUCGAGCGAGAACCAGUCCUUCGGGACUGGGGACAGCGGCGAACGGGUGAGUAACACGUGGGUAAUCUGCCCUCGAUUCUGGGAUAGCCCGGGGAAACCCGGAUUAAUACCGGAUAGCCUCUCGAGCUUUCGAGCUCGUGAGAAAAGGUAGCUUCGGCCUCCGAUCGAGGAUGAGCCCGCGGCGGAUUAGCUUGGUUGGUGGGGUAAUGGCCUACCAAGGCGACGAUCCGUAGCUGGUCUGAGAGGACGAUCAGCCACACUGGGACUGAGACACGGCCCAGACUCCUACGGGAGCAGCAGUGGGAAUCUUGCGCAA